rnacentral:misc_RNA from 1 species
AUAAUACCUUUCUUCCACCUUGAAUAGUUGUGGUCUCUCCGGAGAGCAAGAAAGAGAGAGAGAGCGAUGGGUUGGCUAAGUCGAUUUGUGGCGGCCGUGACUUUCUUAGCCAUCGGGGUGAUAUUCUCUCCGGAAACCUUUGGAUCUAAUUCCAUUGCUCAGCUACCGACUUAUCUGAAACUGGCUCACCUACUCAGCUUUUCCACGGCUUUUGGUGCUGCUCUCUGGGUCACCUUCAUCGGUGGCAUCAUCAUGUUCAAGAAUCUACCAAGGCAUCAGUUUGGUAAUUUGCAAAGCAAGAUGUUUCCUGCAUAUUUUUGGCUGGUGGGGGUGUGCUGUGCGAUAUCUGUGGCAUCAUUUGGUUAUUUGCAUCCAUGGAAAUCAGCUUCCCCUUCUGAGAAGUACCAGCUGGGUUUCCUGUUAUCUUCCUUGGCUUUCAAUCUUACCAAUUUGUUUGUCUUUACUCCCAUGACUAUCGAGAUGAUGAGGCAGAGGCACAAGGUGGAGCGGGAAGAAAACAUUGGGAAUGAAAUUGGGUGGUCAAAGAACCAGGAAGUUGCUAAGGCUAACCCAAAGCUUGCUGCAAUGAACAAGAAAUUUGGCAUGAUCCAUGGUUUUUCAUCCCUUGCUAAUAUUAUGUCUUUUGGAAGCCUUGCCAUGCAUUCAUGGUACUUAGCAGGAAAGAUGAAUCUGUAAUUUGUACUUCCGGUGAAGCUUGUUUCUGGCUAUAAAUUAAAUUAACUGGGCAAGGACAUGAGUGCUUUCUCUUUGAUUAUUUCUGGUUGAGUGGUUGUUCCUGGCCAAGCUGUGUAUUGUCCUGAACAAUGUGUUAAGUUUAAGAAGUUCAUCGACCUCACAUACUCUGAAAUAAAAGUUCACAGAUUUAUACUUCUAUUUGCCCUUUUGGCUCUAUGCCUCUAUUAUCAGUUUCUCAUAUGAAGUUUGCAGGUAAUGCAGAUAUAUCAUGUAUUUUGGCAUAAAAUGAUGAAAGAAGCAUUGUCAUCGUAUAACUGCCCUUUGGGUUUAUUAUGUGUAUGUUAAUACUACAAUUUGGAAACUAUUUGAAUGUUUUGCUCAUUGUCAUCAUAGAUACUCUGCAUGGCAAUUUUCAAUCUGCUAAUUAAUUCAAUCUCAUUUUGCAGUCCAUCCACACAGCAUAACGCAUCAAAGUGUCGGCAUUUCAUAUCUUUGUGGAAAGAGUAGAUUUUCCCAAUUAAGCAAUUAAGUAUAUUUCAAUUCAAUUUGUAACACCCCAACGUACAUAGAAGAAUCUGAUACAGAUAUGUCUACCAUUUUUAAACUUGGCAUACUGUCGUUCAUGGGUAACAGCACAUGAUGUUUCAUGUUUUUACUCUGAUGAAAUGAAAUGAUUUGA